GUCCACAGCAUUAUCUAAAUUAUCUAAAGCUAUGCAACCUAUCGGACUUACACGAAAAAAUUGGCUUGCUACGCGCCUGUCAAUGUGUGAACGCGGCUUGACGCCUCUUUCUAAAGUGUUUCAGUUCUACCACGGCCGGACAAACCGAUACAGCCAAGAUGAAAUAUCUGGAACUUUUAAGAAGAGCUAAGGAGUUAGACUUUGGGAACAGAAGGACUUUUUCAAGAGAAUCCCCAAACCUCACAACUAUAUAGAAGAAUCGGCAACACAAUG